GAUCUGCCGGACCCGACUGCUAUCAGAGUGGGACUAAGCCAUGCGAGUCAACGUAGUAAUACGUGGCAUACGGCUCAGUAACACGUAGUCAACAUGCCCAGGGGACGUGGAUAACCUCGGGAAACUGAGGAUAAACCGCGAUAGGCCAUAAUUCCUGGAAUGGUUUAUGACUGAAACCUAUAUGGCCCCUGGAUUGGACUGCGGCCGAUCAGGCUGUUGGUGAGGUAAUGGCCCACCAAACCUGUAACCGGUACGGGCUCUGAGAGGAGAAGCCCGGAGAUGGGCACUGAGACAAGGGCCCAGGCCCUAUGGGGCGCAGCAGGCGCGAAACCUCUGCAAUAGGCAAAAGCCUGACAGGGUUACUCUGAGUGGUUCCCGCUAAGGGGAUCUUUUGGCACCUCUAAAAAUGGUGCAGAAUAAGGGGUGGGCAAGCCUGGUGUCAGCCGCCGCGGUAAUACCAGCACCCCGAGUGGUCGGGACGAUUAUUGGGCCUAAAGCAUCCGUAGCCGGUCAUGCAAGUCUUCCGUUAAAUCCAGCCGCUCAACGGUUGGGCUGCGGAGGAUACUACGUGGCUAGGAGGCGGGAGAGGCAAGCGGUACUCAGUGGGUAGGGGUAAAAUCCUUUGAUCCAUUGAAGACCACCAGUGGCGAAGGCGGCUUGCCAGAACGCGCUCGACGGUGAGGGAUGAAAGCUGGGGGAGCAAACCGGAUUAGAUACCCGGGUAGUCCCAGCUGUAAACGAUGCAGACUCGGUGAUGGGAUGGCCUCGAGCUAUCCCAGUGCCGCAGGGAAGCCGUUAAGUCUGCCGCCUGGGGAGUACGGUCGCAAGACUGAAACUAAAGGAAUUGGCGGGGGAGCACCACAAG
rnacentral:rRNA from 1 species